rnacentral:misc_RNA from 1 species
GUUGACUGCAUUUUUUUAUGGAUCCAUCAAGAAUUUCCCUCCGUCCCUUCAAGCUUUCUGAUGUUGAUGACUUCCUGAAAUGGGCUGGUGAUGAGAAAGUAACCCGUUAUAUGAGAANNNNNAUCCCAUUACCUCUAGGGAAGAAGCAGCAGAGCAUAUUGCAAAGGUUGCCAUAGCCCAUCCAUGGCAUCGGUCUAUAUGCUUGGAUGAUCGUUCAAUUGGGUACAUUUCCGUCCGGCAAUUGUCAGGUGAUGAUAGAUGUAGAGGAAACAUGGGAUAUGCGAUAGCUGCAGAGUAUUGGGGACAAGGGAUAACCACAAUUGCAGUGAAGAUGGCUCUGUCUAGUGUGUUUCAAGAUUUUCCUGACUUGGUAAGGCUUGAGGUUUUUGUGCUGGAAGAGAACAAGGGAUCUCAAAGGGUAGUCGAGAAAGUAGGGUUUCUGAAAGAAGGUGUGUUGAGGAAAUAUUUAUAUUGUAAAGGUCAAGUUCGGGAUUUGAUUGUCUAUAGUUUUCUGUCAACCGAUAAGGUUUUGUAAUCCAUAAGUUCUAAACUAUAAUCUGUAAUUACAGUAUCUAAUCCAAUGAACAUGUGGUUAUGGUUUCCUUU